rnacentral:sRNA from 1 species
GCUGGGUGUGGUGGUGCACUCCUGUAAUUCCAGCAGCUCUGGAGGCUGAGACAGGAGGAUCCUGAGUUCAAAGCCAGCCUCAGCAAUGGCAAGGGGCUAAGCAACUAACUCAGUGAGACUCUAUCUCUA